rnacentral:rRNA from 1 species
CCUACGGGAGGCAGCAGUGGGGAAUUUUGGACAAUGGGCGCAAGCCUGAUCCAGCAAUGCCGCGUGCAGGAUGAAGGCCUUCGGGUUGUAAACUGCUUUUGUACGGAACGAAAAAGUCUGCCCUAAUACGGUGGGCCCAUGACGGUACCGUAAGAAUAAGCACCGGCUAACUACGUGCCAGCAGCCGCGGUAAUACGUAGGGUGCGAGCGUUAAUCGGAAUUACUGGGCGUAAAGCGUGCGCAGGCGGUUAUAUAAGACAGAUGUGAAAUCCCCGGGCUCAACCUGGGACCUGCAUUUGUGACUGUAUAGCUAGAGUACGGUAGAGGGGGAUGGAAUUCCGCGUGUAGCAGUGAAAUGCGUAGAUAUGCGGAGGAACACCGAUGGCGAAGGCAAUCCCCUGGACCUGUACUGACGCUCAUGCACGAAAGCGUGGGGAGCAAACAGGAUUAGAUACCCUGGUAGUCCACGCCCUAAACGAUGUCAACUGGUUGUUGGGUCUUCACUGACUCAGUACGAAGCUAACGCGUGAAGUUGACCGCCUGGGGAGUACGCCGCAAGGUUGAAACUUAAAGGAAUUGACCGGNNGNGAGNGCGAGACGACGACGAGGGAGGAGG